GAGGGUACAGCUCAGUGGUAGAGCACAUGCUUAGCAUGCACAAGGUCCUGGGUUCAAUCCCCAGCACCUCUA
rnacentral:tRNA from 1 species